UUCCAGACACUGUCAAGUUGAUAAUCGACAC
rnacentral:piRNA from 1 species